ensembl:lncRNA
GUUCCUCCGCGUUUUUGUUUGGAAAAAGAUUCAGUGAGACUUCUGAAUAGAGAGGGGUUGAGCAGGGCCCUUUGCUACAGCAAGCAGGUGAGGACGUGGAGAAGGACCCGGCACCAGCGAGGCAGAGGUGGGCUCUGAACGCUGGCUGCAGGGACCCUCAGGACCUUGGGCCUCUGAGCUUCCCAGCGGACGAUGCAACCAGGGCACAGAGUCGGCUCUGAUUCUCAGGAGAGCUGGUUCCCAGCAGACACACAGCUGUUCUCAGUACUGGGUCCCGGGCAGAGCUCUGCUCUGAGAAGUCGAGGAAGGGAAGAAGCCCACCUGAUGUCUCUCACACAACACUGCGACUCUGUCCUGGGAAGCUGCAGGUCUGGUGUCACAGGCUCCCUGCCCAGGGCCGGGCCGGCUCCAGGGCUCUGGGGAGCAGCCAAGUACCCCUAGUCCUUCCUUUUGGUAGUGGGGCUCAGCUGGGAGCCAAGAAGCAGAGCUAGUGCAGCAGCGGGAGUGUAGAUGUGGUGUCUCUGAGGCUCGGGCGCAGGGCGGGAGGCACAAGGCGACAAGGUGAGUGGGAGUUGUCGAGGUCCCUCUAAUUCCCGUCUUCUCUUUGGCAGAGGAGCAGCAGGCCUGACCAUGCUGAACUGAGGCCAGCGCUGGGAGAGCAGUUUCCUCAGUUGGGGCGAAGGGGGACGGUCACAGAGGCCCGGACCGGCCCCGUCUGCUGCUGGUAAAACCUCGACAUCUGUACAGGGAUUGAAACCCUAACCUCUGCAGGACCCACAAGGUGAUCUUCCUCUGGAGGAUUUGGACCCCGUAGGUGACCAUGGCCCUGCGCUUUCUGGAAGUCGCUUCUCCCUGUCCCCAGCACCCCAGGCAGGGUCUCACUAUGGAGCCCAGGCUGGCCUUGAACUCACUAUGGAGCCCAGGCUGGCCUUGAACUCACUAUGGAGCCCAGGCUGGCCUUGAACUCACUAUGGAGCCCAGGCUGGCCUAAUUCCCAGUGACCCUCCUGUCUCAGCCUCCCAAGUGCCAGGAUUACAGACUUCCGUGUUGAACCCAACAUUUACCUGAAACCGUGAAGCUGCUGCCCACCGCUUUUGUCAUUCAACACUGUGGGACUCGAUGCGGACCUGGAGCCGGAGCCGGGCCUGGGCCUUCCAGGCACCUGAUCUCCCCCUUACAGAUCGGAUCGUCCCCGCCCGCCCCCAGGGCCCUUAGGUGAGGACACAGCAGUGCAGGUGCGGGUCUGAGCCUGGGCCUGCUGUCAGAUCCUGUCUGCUUCAUGCCAGCCUGGGGCCUGGUGAAGUGAGCCCAUGGCCCCCUCAACAGGAAGGAUUCUGGGGUUUUUCUGGGCUCCAGCGGACACCAGUGACCAUGGCACUCAAGUUGCUGCUGCCUGACCUCUUUCACCGUGGAGUGGAGCAGCCCAGUAACCCCGCAUCGUAAACAGGAAGCAGUGUGAAUGCAGGACCAAGUCUACCAGGCUGAAGGCACCAGGCGGGGUCACCCAAGCCUGCUCCAUCCCUGACUCCAAGGAGCCGCCACCCUGCACCCUUCCCCAGGUCCUCAGGCUCACAGAGGUCAGCCACAGUCAUCCCAUUGAGGAUGGGCUUGGUGGCACCUGGAGAGCUCUGUACUUGGCUUGUAUCAGCUGUGUCAGUCA